rnacentral:rRNA from 1 species
CCCUUAGAUGUCCGGGGCCGCACGCGCGCUACACUGACGGAAUCAGCGUGGCUUUCUCCCUGACCCGAAAGGGUUGGGAAACCCGUUGAAUCUCCUUCGUGAUAGGGAUUGGGGCUUGAAAUUGUUCCCCAUGAACGAGGAAUUCCCAGUAAGCGCGAGUCAUAAGCUCGCGUUGAUUACGUCCCUGCCCUUUGUACACACCGCCCGUCGCUACUACCGAUUGAACGGUUUAGUGAGGGCCUCGGAUUGGUCUCGGCCCGCUCUUUACCGGGCGGCGCCGUUGGUCGAGAAGACGCUCGAACUUGAUCGUUUAGAGGAAGUAAAAGUCGUAACA